rnacentral:lncRNA from 1 species
AGCAGCCAAUGUGAAUGCGACAAGUUCCCGAUCCAGGCGUCCCGCUCUCCCCGGCCCCACUCGCCAGGUCCUACCACGAUGCCUGACUCGUUUGCGGCUUUGGGACCGGUUGUAGGUGGCUUGACCGUCACUAGUAGACGUUUCUGAGUGUGUCGCGGUCACCAUGGGGAGGUUCCCUGCUCAAGCUCUCUUCUCUUGUCUGCUGCCAUGUGAGACGUGCCUUUGACCUUCUGCCAUGAUUGUGAGGCCUCCCCAGCCACGUGAAACUUGGGAACCAUAAUCAACGCCGAUUACGUAAAAUGGACUCUAUGGCC